rnacentral:misc_RNA from 1 species
GAUGAAGAACGUAGCGAAAUGCGAUAAGUAAUGUGAAUUGCAGAAUUCCGUGAAUCAUCGAAUCUUUGAACGCACAUUGCGCCCCCUGGUAUUCCGGGGGGCAUGCCUGUCCGAGCGUCAUUACAACCCUCAAGCUCAGCUUGGUGUUGGGCCCCGCCGCCCCGGCGGGCCCUAAAGUCAGUGGCGGUGCCGUCCGGCUCCGAGCGUAGUAAUUCUUCUCGCUCUGGAGGUCCGGUCGUGUGCUUGCCAGCAACCCCCAAUUUUUUUCAGGUUGACCUCGGAUCAGGUAGGGAUACCCGCUGAACUUAAGCAUAUCAAUAAGCGGAGGA